rnacentral:rRNA from 1 species
GAACGCUAGCGGCAGGCUUAACACAUGCAAGUCGAGGGUAUAGUUCUUCGGAAUUAGAGACCGGCGCACGGGUGCGUAACGCGUAUGCAAUCUACCUUCACAGAGGGAUAGCCCAGAGAAAUUUGGAUUAAUACCUCAUAGUAUAGCAGUUUCGCAUGAAACCACUAUUAAAGUUCCAACGGUGAAAGAUGAGCAUGCGUCCCAUUAGCUAGAUGGUAAGGUAACGGCUUACCAUGGCUACGAUGGGUAGGGGUCCUGAGAGGGAGAUCCCCCCACACUGGUACUGAGACACGGACCAGACUCCUACGGGAGGCAGCAGUGAGGAAUAUUGGUCAAUGGACGCAAGUCUGAACCAGCCAUGCCGCGUGCAGGAUGACGGUCCUAUGGAUUGUAAACUGCUUUGUACGAGAAGAAACAACAUUACGUGUAAUGUCUUGACGGUAUCGUAAGAAUAAGGAUCGGCUAACUCCGUG